UUAGAGCUGAAGGCAUCUAAUGCAAAGGU
rnacentral:sRNA from 1 species